GAUGAACGCUAGCGAUAGGCUUAACACAUGCAAGUCGAGGGGCAGCAUGAUCUUAGCUUGCUAAGGUCGAUGGCGACCGGCGCACGGGUGCGUAACGCGUAUGCAACUUGCCUUACAGACGGGGAUAACCCGUUGAAAGACGGACUAAAACCGCAUACACUUGUAUUAUUGCAUGAUAUUACAAGGAAAUAUUUAUAGCUGUAAGAUAGGCAUGCGUCCCAUUAGCUGGUUGGUGAGGUAACGGCUCACCAAGGCGACGAUGGGUAGGGGAACUGAGAGGUUAUCCCCCACACGGUAUGAGACACGGACCAAUACUAACGGGAGGCAGCAGGAGGUAUAGUGGCUAGGGCUAAGCCGAACCAGCCAAGUUGACGUGAAGGAAGACAGUCCUAAGGAUUGUAAACUUCUAUUAUACGGGAAUAACGGGCGAUACGAGUAUUCGCAUUGAAUGUACCGUAAGAAUAAGCAUCGGCUAACUCCGUGCCAGCAGCCGCGGUAAUACGGAGGAUGCGAGACGUUAUCCGGAUUUAUUGGGUUUAAAGGGUGCGUAGGUUGUUCGGUAAGUCAGCGGUGAAACCUGAGCGCUCAACGUUCAGCCUGCCGUUGAAACUGCCGGGCUUGAGUUCAGUGGCGGCAGGCGGAAUUCGUGGUGUAGCGGUGAAAUGCAUAGAUAUCACGAGGAACUCCGAUUGCGAAGGCAGCUUGCCAUACUGCGACUGACACUGAAGCACGAAGGCGUGGGUAUCAAACAGGAUUAGAUACCCUGGUAGUCCACGCAGUAAACGAUGAUCACUAUGGAGUCUGCGAUAUACCGUCAAGCUUCCACAGACGAAAGCGUUAAGUAAUCCACCUGGGGAGUACGCCGGCAACGGUGAAACUCAAAGGACUUGACGGGGGCCCGCACAAGCGGAGGAUAUGUGGUUUAAUUCGAUGAUACGCGAGGAACCUACCCCGGGAUUGAUAUGUAGAUGACGGAUGGUGAAAACCG
rnacentral:rRNA from 1 species